rnacentral:rRNA from 1 species
AAUCCAUAGGUUAAUGAGGCGAACCGGGGGAACUGAAACAUCUAAGUACCCCGAGGAAAAGAAAUCAACCGAGAUUCCCCCAGUAGCGGCGAGCGAACGGGGAGGAGCCCAGAGCCUGAAUCAGCAUGUGUGUUAGUGGAAGCGUCUGGAAAGGCGCGCGAUACAGGGUGACAGCCCCGUACACAAAAGCGCAUGUGCUGUGAGCUCGAUGAGUAGGGCGGGACACGUGGUAUCCUGUCUGAAUAUGGGGGGACCAUCCUCCAAGGCUAAAUACUCCUGACUGACCGAUAGUGAACCAGUACCGUGAGGGAAAGGCGAAAAGAACCCCGGCGAGGGGAGUGAAAAAGAACCUGAAACCGUGUACGUACAAGCAGUGGGAGCACAGGUUUACCUGUGUGACUGCGUACCUUUUGUAUAAUGGGUCAGCGACUUAUAUUCUGUAGCAAGGUUAACCGAAUAGGGGAGCCGGAGGGAAACCGAGUCUUAAUUGGGCGUUAAGUUGCAGGGUAUAGACCCGAAACCCGGUGAUCUAGCCAUGGGCAGGUUGAAGGUUGGGUAACACUAACUGGAGGACCGAACCGACUAAUGUUGAAAAAUUAGCGGAUGACCUGUGGCUGGGGGUGAAAGGCCAAUCAAACCGGGAGAUAGCUGGUUCUCCCCGAAAGCUAUUUAGGUAGCGCCUCGUGAAUUCAUCUCCGGGGGUAGAGCACUGUUUCGGCUAGGGGGCCAUCCCGGCUUACCAACCCGAUGCAAACUGCGAAUACCGGAGAAUGUUAUCACGGGAGACACACGGCGGGUGCUAACGUCCGUCGUGAAGAGGGAAACAACCCAGACCGCCAGCUAAGGUCCCAAAGUCAUGGUUAAGUGGGAAACGAUGUGGGAAGGCCCAGACAGCCAGGAUGUUGGCUUAGAAGCAGCCAUCAUUUAAAGAAAGCGUAAUAGCUCACUGGUCGAGUCGGCCUGCGCGGAAGAUGUAACGGGGCUAAACCAUGCACCGAAGCUGCGGCAGCGACGCUUAUG